rnacentral:sRNA from 1 species
UGGGGACUCAGAUUCCAAUAGGCAAAGUGUCUCAGAAUGCAAAGUAUGGCGAAAUCCACUAAAUUUAUUUAGGGGUGCUGAAUAUAAUCGGUAUACUUGGGUGACAGGACGAGAGCCUCUUACUUACUAUGACAUGAAUCUCUCUGCCCAGGACCACCAGACAUUCUUUACUUGUGACUCGGACCAUCUGCGUCCCGCAGAUGCAAUAAUGCAGAAAGCCUGGAGAGAGAGAAACCCCCAAGCUAGGAUUUCUGCAGCUCAUGAAGCCUUGGAGAUAAAUGAGUGUGCAACUGCUUAUAUUCUCUUGGCUGAAGAGGAAGCAACAACCAUUGCUGAAGCUGAAAAAUUAUUUAAGCAGGCCCUGAAGGCUGGAGAUGGCUGUUACCGACGCUCUCAGCAGCUACAACAUCAUGGAUCCCAGUAUGAAGCCCAACAUAGACGAGACACCAAUGUCUUGGUGUACAUCAAAAGAAGGCUAGCAAUGUGUGCCAGAAGACUCGGGAGGACCAGGGAAGCAGUGAAAAUGAUGAGAGAUUUAAUGAAGGAGUUCCCCCUUCUGAGUAUGUUCAAUAUCCAUGAAAACCUUUUAGAAGCCCUUCUGGAACUACAAGCAUAUGCUGAUGUUCAGGCAGUCUUAGCAAAGUAUGAUGAUAUAAGCUUACCAAAGUCAGCAACAAUAUGCUACACAGCUGCUUUGCUCAAAGCAAGAGCUGUCUCUGACAAAUUCUCUCCUGAGGCUGCAUCUCGGCGGGGGCUGAGCACAGCAGAGAUGAAUGCAGUAGAGGCCAUUCAUAGAGCUGUGGAAUUCAAUCCUCAUGUGCCAAAAGCUAGGUGGAAAUAGAGGCUGCCUAGAAACAUGCAUUAACAGGUGCUUCUUGGGCCACCCUAGCCUGAAGAAGGACAA